UAAGCAUUUCAGGUGUCAGAUUUUUAAUCUGGUGAAAAGGGAAAUAGGUGUAAUUCCUAUACGAACUCGUCGCUGUAAUAGAGGAGUCUGCUUUUAUGAUGUCACUGGUAUAUGCCGGGAAGACAAAAGCAGAUGAGGAUUCUUAAGUCAGAAGACCUGCCUGUUAUGGU
rnacentral:ncRNA from 1 species